CAGGCAUGAGCCACCGAGCCCAGCCUAGUUUUUUUUUUAAAUUAAGCUUUAUCAUAGGAAGUUGUUAAAUUUUUAAUAAGUACAUUUCUGCUUCUCAGUUGAUGUCAUAACUUAGUUAUAUUCUUAGUAAAAAGCAAAGGCUUAAGGCUGGGUGUGGUGACUCAUGCCUAUAAUCCCAGCACUUUGGGAGGCUGAGGUGUGCAGAUCACUUGAGUUCAGGAGUUGUAGACUAGCCUGACAAUACAGCAAAACCCCGUUUCUACAAAAAAAUACAAAAAUUAGCUGGGUGGCAUGCGCCUGUAGUCCCAGGUAUUUGGGAGGCUGAGGUGAGAUCAUUUGAGCUUGGGAGGUCAUGUCUCAAAAAAAAAAAAAAAAAAAUUAUAUAAAAUUUUAAAAAAGCAAAGGCUUAAAAAGUUUUUAAGUAUAUAUAGAUUAAUGAACGAUAGUUAACUUCCUAAUCUCAGAUAUUUUUGAAUUUAUUAUAUACGUUGAUCGCCAGUGGCCAAUGAUUUAAUCAAUCAUGCCUAUGUAAUGAGGGCUCCUAAAAACCCAAAAGGACAGGGUUCAGAGAGCUUGUGGAUAGCCAAAUGUGUGGGGGCUUCCAGGAAGGUGGGCAAGAACACGUCCACAUGCUGGGAGAAUGGCACUUCGCAACUCCUUGCAGACAGAAGCUCCUGCUCUUGGGACUCUUCUAGGCUUCAUCCUGUGUAUCUUUUCAUCUGGCUAUUUGUAGCCUUUAAAAUAGCCUUGUAAUAAACGUGUUUCCCUGAGUUCUGUGAACUGCUCUUGUAAAUUAAAGCCAAGGAAGGGGUCUUGGGAACCCAGAAGGACAGGUAAAACAACCUGGGGCUUGUGAUUGACGCUGGACAUG
rnacentral:lncRNA from 1 species